rnacentral:lncRNA from 1 species
AUGGGCUAUAAAGAGGCCUCAUGGGGGCUAAUGGCUGAAGUGGUAGUGGAGGCCGAUGCCAAGGUCGAAGGUCGAGGUGAGGUCGAAGUAGGACAUGCAAGUGCAUCCUCUUCUUUCUCCUCCUUUCCCAUCACCUUUUCUCUAUCCAUUUCUUCCUCUUUUUCUUUUGUCUUGUUGUGUUGCCCAUGGCCCGUAGGAGGAUUGGACAAGAGGGGAAGGGGCAUUAAUGCCUCUCGUCAGGUCCAAAUGGCCCAGGGCUAUCCUCAUGGUAUAUGUACAGUGGGUGAUGUACAAUAAAAAAUUAAUAAGGUACAUGUGACAGUGUGGCUGAUGAAGACCUUUUAGUACUGAUGGUGGGCUGAUCAGACUGGUGGCAUGCUGAGCCUCUGAUCUUUUCUUAUUUUUGAGAGUCCAAUGAUCAACCAAGGGAGGAUCGAUUGAUGAAAAAUUUCCUCAGAGACACCUGC